UCCUACGGGAGGCAGCAGUGGGGAAUAUUGCACAAUGGGGGAAACCCUGAUGCAGCCAUGCCGCGUGUGUGAAGAAGGCCUUCGGGUUGUAAAGCACUUUCAGUAGGGAGGAAGGUAGUGUAGUUAACACCUGCACUAUUUGACGUUACCUACAGAAGAAGCACCGGCUAACUCCGUGCCAGCAGCCGCGGUAGUACGGAGGGUGCGAGCGUUAAUCGGAAUUACUGGGCGUAAAGCGCAUGCAGGCGGCCUGUUAAGUCAGAUGUGAAAGCCCGGGGCUUAACCUCGGAAUUGCAUUUGAAACUGGCAGGCUAGAGUCUUGUAGAGGGGGGUAGAAUUUCAGGUGUAGCGGUGAAAUGCGUAGAGAUCUGAAGGAAUACCAGUGGCGAAGGCGGCCCCCUGGACAAAGACUGACGCUCAGAUGCGAAAGCGUGGGGAGCAAACAGGAUUAGAUACCCUGGUAGUCCACGCCGUAAACGAUGUCUACUUGGAGGUUGUGGCCUUGAGCCGUGGCUUUCGGAGCUAACGCGUUAAGUAGACCGCCUGGGGAGUACGGUCGCAAGAUUAAAACUCAAAUGAAUUGACGGA
rnacentral:rRNA from 1 species